UUAAUAAUGCAGUCGAACGMUGKCUUYCCGUCMMGAGUGCUUGCACUCAAUUGGAAAGAGGASYGGCGGACGGGUGAGUAACACGUGGGUAACCUACCCAUCAGAGGGGGAUAACACUUGGAAACAGGUGCUAAUACCGCAUAACAGUUUAUGCCGCAUGGCAUAAGAGUGAAAGGCGCUUUCGGGUGUCGCUGAUGGAUGGACCCGCGGUGCAUUAGCUAGUUGGUGAGGUAACGGCUCACCAAGGCCACGAUGCAUAGCCGACCUGAGAGGGUGAUCGGCCACACUGGGACUGAGACACGGCCCAGACUCCUACGGGAGGCAGCAGUAGGGAAUCUUCGGCAAUGGACGAAAGUCUGACCGAGCAACGCCGCGUGAGUGAAGAAGGUUUUCRGAYCGUAAAACUCUGWUGUUAGAGAAGAACAAGGACG
rnacentral:rRNA from 1 species